rnacentral:tRNA from 1 species
GGUGGUAUAGCUUAAGUGGUAGAGCAUGUGCUUAGCAUGCACAAGGUCCUGGGUUCAAUCCCCAGCACCUCCA